UCCCCACCCCCUCCCGGUCCCGGUCCCGGCCCCGCCGCCCCCGGGCCCAGCCCGGUACCUACCGGCGGCGCCGCCCCCGCCGCUCCGCGCCCGCCGGGGCCGUGCCGCGGCCUCAGCCCGCUCGCAUGGUGCGGGGCCGGGCCCGCCGGGCUCGGGGCCGCUCCCGCUGCCGCUGCCGGUGCCGCUCCCGGGGCCGCUCCCGCUCCGGCCUCGGCCUCAGCCCCGCCUCAUGGCGCCCCCCGCGCCUGCCCCGCCGAUGGUACCGGCCAAGCCGCGCCCCCCCCCCCUCCACACCUCCCCCCCCGCGGAGCUGCGAUGGAAGCGUCCAACCUCCUGCCGUAAUGGCUGCAUUAGGGGCGCAGCUGGAAUCGGUACCGUAAUGAUCCGAGCCGCGGCGCAGAAGUUAAUCAUUGAUGAACUUGGGUACAGCAGGAGGCAAAGGUCUCUGGUGGUGUCAGGGUGCAGGCAGAGCGCAGCCUGCGCUGCAGCAUCCCCAGCGAGGCACCGCAGGUGGGCGCUGGGGGCUGGGGGAGCGCCCGGGACGUGCCCCAGGUUCUGUGCCGUGCACUGCGGGCUCCAGGCAGGAUGGCACAGCCCUCGCUGCUGCUGCUCCCGUUCCUCCUGGCAGCAGCUUCAGGCAACACGCCCCCCAUCUUCAACACGACCAUCGAGUACGUGAGCGAGGACCUGCAGAUAGGUGAGCGGGCGGCCCCGGGGGGCCUGGGGGGCACAGGGGGGGCACGGCCAGGGCCGACACCACCCUUGUCCCCAGGCCAAGUCGCUUUCGUGCUGACGGCCACUGACUUGGAUAAGGACACGCUCAGCUACUCCAUCAGCGGUGCGGAUGCCUUCUACUUCAACGUUAACCAAAGCACGGGGGUCGUGACCCUGAGGAACCUCUUGGACCGGGAGUCCCAGGCCAGGCUCACCCUAACCGUCACCGUGUCCGACGGCAGUCAACGAUGCGGUGAGUGCUGGGCUGGGGGCCGGGAGGGGGCAACGUCACCCCCCGGGGGUGAUGCUGGCCAGCUCCAGAGCUCCAGCGGGACACCGUGCCCCUCACCUUCCAGACCUCCAGGAGGCUGACGGUCAUUGUGGAGGACUGCAACGACAACGCCCCGGUCUUCAAGGGCCUGCCCUACUGAAACCUCUGUCCCCGAGGUACCUCCCUGGGCACCUGGCGGCCCCGCGG
rnacentral:lncRNA from 1 species